CUGACCUUAGCUCAGUUGGUAGAGUGGUGGACUGUAGUUUGACUAAUCUAAAUUGGAAAUCCUUAGGUCGCUGGUUUGAUUCCGGCAGGUUGGA
rnacentral:tRNA from 1 species